AAACCAGGAAGAGAAGACUUCUGAUCUGGGGACCGCCAUGGAAAAGAACAGUAAUUCUUCAGAGAUUGAGGACAUUAUCUCCAAAAGUGAUCUAGUUUGUCCAGGUCCUCCUAAGAUCUAUCAGCUGAAAACAAAGAAAGAGAAGAUUAAAUCUCUGACAAAAUUAACUGUUGGAGACAAAAAUUAGAACAAAACAAAAACCAUCUUGCUUGUUGGUGAAAGAGGAGCUGGAAAAUCCAAUUUUGUCAAUGCUUUGUUCAACUACGCUGUGGGUGUAAAAUUUGAGGAUGAGAUCUGGUUUCAGAUAGUUGAGGAGAAAGAGGACAGAAGUCAGGCAGGAAGUCGGACAUCAGAUGUUGUCGUCUAUCAGAUAUAUGAUUCUGAGGAUCAAACACUGCCAUUCUCUCUGACCAUCAUUGAUACUCCUGGAUAUGGAGAUGCAGGGUUGGAACAACAAUUACUGGAAUUAUUCCAAUCAGAUGAUGGAAUCCAUGAAGUUCAUGCAGUAGGUCUGGUCAUUGAGGAGGGGGGUAAUGUCGUCAGUGACCAACUGAAGAACAUCUAUGAUUUCAUUUUGUCCCGGUUUGGAAACGAUGUGGAGAAAAAUGUUGUAGCUCUCCUGACAAACUCAAAUGGAAAACAAGCUGAAAAGGUUCU